GGACGUUGGCGGGGUGCUAUACAUGCAGUCGAACGCUUCUUUCCUCCCGAGUGCUUGCACUCAAUUGGAAAGAGGAGUGGCGGACGGGUGAGUAACACGUGGGUAACCUACCCAUCAGAGGGGGAUAACACUUGGAAACAGGUGCUAAUACCGCAUAACAGUUUAUGCCGCAUGGCAUAAGAGUGAAAGGCGCUUUCGGGUGUCGCUGAUGGAUGGACCCGCGGUGCAUUAGCUAGUUGGUGAGGUAACGGCUCACCAAGGCCACGAUGCAUAGCCGACCUGAGAGGGUGAUCGGCCACACUGGGACUGAGACACGGCCCAGACUCCUACGGGAGGCAGCAGUAGGGAAUCUUCGGCAAUGGACGAAAGUCUGACCGAGCAACGCCGCGUGAGUGAAGAAGGUUUUCGGAUCGUAAAACUCUGUUGUUAGAGAAGAACAAGGACGUUAGUAACUGAACGUCCCCUGACGGUAUCUAACCAGAAAGCCACGGCUAACUCCGUGCAGCAGCCGCU
rnacentral:rRNA from 1 species